GGCUUUAUAGUCAAUAUAUGAUAUUAGAUUGCAAAUCUAAAGUAGCAUUCAUGCUAAAGCUU
rnacentral:tRNA from 1 species